rnacentral:misc_RNA from 1 species
CAGUCGUUGGCAUAGGCGCGCUGAGCCUUUGUCAAAUGAUGUCUUCCUGUGCUACAUUCCAUUUAAAGGGCAUUGAAUUUGUUCAAUUGCAUCAGUUCGCUUCUCGUUGCGUCCCCUCGGAUUUUGGCAUGCAGCGAACUUUAAAGCAUUUAUCGUGUUCCACGUUCCUUGCAUUCACGUGCUUUGGUUGUUGGGCCACGGUCCUUGCUCGAUCUCUCGGUUGCGGAAUACCUUGCGGGCACGAGGCCACCACUGGUCCUCUAUUCGGCCCUUAUCGAGCGUUUAACGCUACGUUCAAACGACAGUUGUGGCCGUCUUGACUAGGUCUUUAUGGCUUUGCUCAUACGGUCCCAACGUCGAUGAGGAAUG